AUAUAUAUAUAUAUAUAUGUCGGAGAGGCAGGAUCUUUUGUUAGAGGUUCAGCAUUUUGUGAUUUACCCAUUUUUAUUAUUACAAUUAAUUAAUAUUCCCAAUUACAAUAAGAUCAAUUAUCAAGAAUGAGUAGGUAAACUCGUACAAGAUUAAUUUAACUUAGAAUGCUAA